rnacentral:rRNA from 1 species
GAAAUUCGCCUUCAUGAAGCUGGAAUUGCUAGUAAUGGCAGGUCAGCAUACUGCCGUGAAUACGUUCCCGGGCCUUGUACACACCGCCCGUCACACCAUGAGAGUUGGAAAUACCCGAAGCCUGUGAGCUAACUGUAAAGAGGCAGCAGUCGAAGGUAGAGCCAAUGAUUGGGGUGAAGUCGUAACAAGGUAUC